ACAAUUAUAUAGGAUGAGCAUUUGGUACCAGGUACCAGUACCGAACCGGGAUAUUCGGUACCGGUAUCAAUUUUUUCCGUAUUUUGGUACCGGUACCGGUUUGGUACCGAACGGGUACCAUGCUCAUCCCUAAUUCUGUAUCUUCUGCUUUGUCUAUAUGAACCAAUAAGUGGCCAGGUAACCCUUCUUUCCUAAAAUGAUGGUGAAUUUCUAGUAGAGGUGACAAGUUAGGCAGGUUGACCCUCAAAUAUUCUUUGUCCUUCUUUUUGACCUUUUUAUUACUUAAAGGUAUUUUGUCAUUUCGUGUUUAUAAAUUGGCAGAUUGCAUUUGUAGAAUUAGUUCAGUUUCAAAAGUAUUUAUUCAUAAGUUUGAAGAAAGCCAUUGAGAUGCCAAUGUCCUCGCCUGCGCCUUGCGUCUUUGACAACAUAGCUCCUAAUCAAGAGUGUUACUAUCAUUACAAGGACUUUUGGAUGUUGGAUUUGAAAACAAAUCAAUGGGAACAAUAGAAUUAUAAAGGAUGUCCUAGUCGACGUUCUGGUCAUCCGAUGGUUUUGUAUAAGCACAAGCUUGUUAUUUUUGGUGGGUUCUAACUUCUAUGAUACUUUUCGAGAAGUGAGGUUAUUUCUGUUUUUUCAAAUAAAGUUUGCGUUUUGAUAAGUUGCCCAUCCCUAGCACUAGCCUACAUAUUGAAUACUAAGUUUGCACCUAAGCUAUAAGAUUUGAUCCUUUUAUUACUUACUUUAUUUUCUUUUGCAGAUACUUCAAUUCUCUUUAAUUUGGAUACUUUUAAGGUAAAGUAGUGAACAAAUGGGCAAUUUAUUCAUGUUUGUGAAUCAAUAACUAAAACAAGCUCAUCGUCUAGCUUCAGUGGCAAGAGAUA